rnacentral:rRNA from 1 species
UGUGAAAUCCCCGGGCUCAACCUGGGAACUGCAUCUGAUACUGGCAAGCUUGAGUCUCGUAGAGGGGGGUAGAAUUCCAGGUGUAGCGGUGAAAUGCGUAGAGAUCUGGAGGAAUACCGGUGGCGAAGGCGGCCCCCUGGACGAAGACUGACGCUCAGGUGCGAAAGCGUGGGGAGCAAACAGGAUUAGAUACCCUGGUAGUCCACGCCGUAAACGAUGUCGACUUGGAGGUUGUGCCCUUGAGGCGUGGCUUCCGGAGCUAACGCGUUAAGUCGACCGCCUGGGGAGUACGGCCGCAAGGUUAAAACUCAAAUGAAUUGACGGGGGCCCGCACAAGCGGUGGAGCAUGUGGUUUAAUUCGAUGCAACGCGAAGAACCUUACCUGGUCUUGACAUCCACAGAACUUUCCAGAGAUGGAUUGGUGCCUUCGGGAACUGUGAGACAGGUGCUGCAUGGCUGUCGUCAGCUCGUGUUGUGAAAUGUUGGGUUAAGUCCCGCAACGAGCGCA